GCUCUUCCAAAUGGUUCUGCUUUGAGAGGAAAACAUAAGGAAAGGAAUAGUAUUGUCAGUGCUACUUUCUAAACGCGCUACAUCGAGACUCAUCUAGUCACUAGUCCGUUCCCUAGAGAGCUCAAAGCACAGGGCAGAAUCACGGCAGCUCAGGGCCGGAAGGGCGCUGUGUCAGCGUAUCGGACCCUGCUGCAGCAUCCGCCUUCAAGGGGAGCUGAUGCUGUCUGGAGUGGCUAGCUCUGCUAGAUGCAGCUCUCAGUGGAAUGCGUUUCCUUGUGUUCACUGAUAACCUAUGUAAGAACACUUCAGCACUGGUGAUAAAAUGAUGGAGACACGAGGUGCCUUUCCUGAAGGAAAGGGAAAGAGGACAUGGCCCCACUAAAUCUGUAAAGCAGGUCUGUGUGGUUUGGAGUCCGGGCUGAAGCAGGCUAAAGGUACAAUGAGCCAGUCAACACAGUGUCCUGACCUGAGGGUUUCGCGUGUCCCACCACGUGUGAGCACUUGGGAACACACCAUGUGCAAACAUGGUGACGCCUGUGUCCUUGCUUCGUGAGGAAUGCUUUACGUGAACUGAUGCAGCAUGAAGCAUCUGAGCUCCCAAACAGGACUGAACCCACGCCCCGUGAAGUGGAAGCGCGGAGACUCAACCACGGCACUGCCAGGGAAGUCCCUCGCUAUCCUUCUUUUCCAGCCAUGAGCUGGACUCCAGUAUUAGAAGCCUCCCUUACGGAUGAAGAAAAUUAGACUUAAAAGAGGAUGAUGACAUUCUGCAAGUCACCAAGGAACAACGCGUGGAGCCAAGGUCUAGUCCCAGAGCCUGUUGUUUUAUCUGCCUCACUGAACCGCCAUCAAGGUUCAGCGGGCGGGGUUUCUCUGUGCUUCAUUUCAAAGAUGUAACACCUAUGUUAAUGAACUAGUUUCUGGCCCUGUAAGUUCUCCUGCACAUUCGUUAAAAACCCAGUCAUGACCCAGAAGAAGUACUUAUGGAAGUACUGACCAUUCAAGGU